ACAAUCCCAGUGGAAGGAUUCAGGCAUCCUUAGGCCUCCUGCCUAGGCCCCCUGGCUGCUGCAGAGGGUAUGGGGGUGUUUCCUUUGGCCCCUUGCCAACCUCAGAGGAGCUCAGACCCCAGGGUCCCACCCACUCCCAUCCCCAGGUGUCUUCCUUACACUAAACUGGCCCCAGGAAAGGGCAGUGCCCAGAGGAGAAGGCAGGCAAUGCCAGUGGAAUGUGUGUGGGCAUCGGAGGGCACGGGCAGGGUGGGGCAGGGGGAAACUGGAGGUGCCAGUUAGGUGGCUUUGUGAGCCAGGGGGGGAUGUGCCAGGGGGGGGAUAGAAGGGGGCGUGCCCACCACUCCCUACCAGAGCCCUGAGCUAUGGUGUAUGAAGGGGGGAAGGGGUGUUGUUUGGGAGGUUAUCCCCGCUCCCUUCUCCUGACAAGGAGGGGGCACAAGCUACAUUUCCUUAAUACUGCCCUCUCUUCACCUCCCUCUAAAAUGUGGGCACAGGUGAGGUUUCCUCACCUCAAAAGUCCUAUGUCCCUCCCCAGAAGUUAAUCUAUGGCUGGAAAGGAGCAAUCCUUCUGGACUCGGGGAGUGAGACUCCAGCUACCCUGGACAUCAGACUAGGUGAAUGAGCUUUCUCAACUGUACUAGUCUCUGGGUUCAAAUCUUCUUUGUAUCUCUCGUUGGAACAAGAGCCUUCUCUUCAGCUAAUACAGAUGAGAAAACUGAGGCUCAGAUGGAUUAUGUGACUUACUCAUGGC